GACGAACGCUGGCGGCGGGCCUAACACAUGCAAGUCGAACGGAAACUGCGGGCUUAGCGGCGGAGGCGGAAGUAACGAGUGGGAGUAUGCGCUGCUCUACGGACUCGUCGUGGGAAAGUGGGGGUAAUAGCGAUAACGCCCUGAGAGGGAAAGCUAUAUCGGGGAAGGAUUAGCCCGCGUUGGAUUAGGUAGUUGGUGGGGUAAUGGCCUACCAAGCCGACGAUCCAUAGCUGGUUUGAGAGGAUGACCAGCCACACUGGGACUGAGACACGGCCCAGACUCCUACGGGAGGCAGCAGUGGGGAAUCUUAGACAAUGGGGGCAACCCUGAUCGAGCCAUGCCGCGUGAGUGAUGAAGGCCUUAGGGUUGUAAAGCUCUUUCAGCUGGGAAGAUAAUGACGGUACCAGCAGAAGAAGCCCCGGCUAACUCCGUG
rnacentral:rRNA from 1 species